CAGAAGAACCUGCGAGACCAUGUCGACACUGAUGUUCUAAGGAUGAGGAAUGGCAUCCAUGCAAGCUUUUUCCAUUGCUCAUCCAGUGAUACAAAUCCACAUCAUCAUCUUUGCCCAACUGGUCCUGAUUCAUGGUGCUUUUACCAGAAGGCAGUAGCAGCUAACAUGACACCACCAUCUCACACCACCAUGAAAGUGCACUUCCAGUUAGAAUUUGCAUACUUCAAGGAGGUUCAUGAUAUUUACAAACAACUAACUGCAGAUAUGAUGAAAAUUUCUGAAAAGCAGGACACAGAAUCCUAAUGAAAGUCUCCAUCACCGAAUUUGAUCCUACUGCAACAAGACACUGAAUCGAAAAAGAGUGGCAGGCUGAUUUCUCAGCCAGUCAAGCCAAAUAGCCGAGUAUAAUGCUGGAUACGAGAGAAGUUGUAUCGAUAUACCACUUGGCUUUGGGCGUUCAUUGCUUACCCAAAGGAAGUUUCAAGCUAUGGACAAGAGGAUGCAGAGAAAAAAGCCCCCAAAAUCCAAGAAGAGGAGACUGACGAUGGAUACUUCCUAUGAACCUGGAGGACAUUAGAUGAUUAUUCAUGUCCUUACCAACACCUACUCAAAGGUUGGCAUGCAUGGAGCAUUGUGAUUGGCAGAUCUCCAGGGAACUUCAGGAUGCAGGGAUCUGCAUGGUACUUCAGGGAUAUACUCUAUACACUUGUUUCUACUAUCAAUAAACAUAAGAAGGCACCAUGAGUACUUUUACCCACCAUAUACCCUUUAUAGGAGGGAAGUCUAGGGGCAUAUUCUACUGGCAGCCUCCAGAGAGCACAACCCUUUCUCUCAGAAUGAAAGUUACGACAAAAGCUGAUGGCUUGGCAACGUCGGGUGGCCACAUCUGGGGUGGCCAAGAAAGGACUGGCCACAUCUGGG